UACGUAGGGGGCAAGCGUUGUCCGGAAUCAUUGGGCGUAAAGCGCGCGUAGGCGGCCCUGUAAGUCCGUUGUGAAAGUCGAAGGCUCAACCUUCGAAAGCCGAUGGAUACUGCAGGGCUAGAGUCCGGAAGAGGCGAGUGGAAUUCCUGGUGUAGCGGUGGAAUGCGCAGAGAUGGGGGAGAACACUCGUGGCGAAGGCGGCCAGCUAGACCAGUUCUGACACUGAGGCGCGACAGCGUGGGGAGCAAACAGG
rnacentral:rRNA from 1 species